AGGAAUGAUAAAUCAUAAGUCCUAGCUUCCCCUAUACUGAUUCCAGUGUAGUACACAUUGCAGGUGCUCCCCACCUGUGGAUUAAAUGCAUUAUACCUCCCCAUCAGCAAAAGAUCGCAACAACAAGUUUCUCUGCAGGUGGAUAUUGUUCCCAGCCAGGGGGAGAUCAGCGUUGGAGAGUCCAAAUUCUUCUUAUGCCAAGUGGCAGGAGAUGCCAAAGAUAAAGACAUCUCCUGGUUCUCCCCCAAUGGAGAAAAGCUCACCCCAAACCAGCAGCGGAUCUCAGUGGUGUGGAAUGAUGAUUCCUCCUCCACCCUCACCAUCUAUAACGCCAACAUCGACGACGCCGGCAUUUACAAGUGUGUGGUUACAGGCGAGGAUGGCAGUGAGUCAGAGGCCACUGUCAACGUGAAGAUCUUUCAGAAGCUCAUGUUCAAGAAUGCGCCAACCCCACAGGAGUUCCGGGAGGGGGAAGAUGCUGUGAUUGUGUGUGAUGUGGUCAGCUCCCUCCCGCCAACCAUCAUCUGGAAACACAAAGGCCGAGAUGUCAUCCUGAAAAAAGAUG
rnacentral:sRNA from 1 species